rnacentral:lncRNA from 1 species
CUCCACAUCCUUUCCCAUCACCACAUUCUCUCCAUGUCCAUCCCCAUGUCCUCCCCAUCUCCAUGUCCUUCUCCAUCUCCAUGUCCUUCCUGUAUCCAUCUCCACAUCCUCCCCAUCUCCAUCUCCUUUUCCUCCUCACCUCCACGUCCAUCUCCAUGUCCUCCCCAUGUUUAUCUCCAUUUCCCUUCCAUCUCCACGUCCAUCUCCACGUCCUUUCCCAUCACCACGUCCUCCCCACGUCCCUCCCCAUCUCCAUGUCCUUCCUGUAUCCACCUCCAUGUCCUUCCCAUGUCCAUCUCCUUUUCCUCCCCAAAUCCAUGUCCUCCCCCUGUCCAUCUCCACGUCCUUCCCCAUGUCCUCCCCAUGUCCAUCUCCACGUCCUCCUCCACCUCCACGUCCUCCCCACGUCCAUCUCCUUUCCCUCCCCACCUCCACGUCCUGCCCCAUGCCCUCCCCACGUCCUCUCCACCUCCACACCUGUCCGACCCCACAUCCAGCCCCACUCAAUCCCACGUCCAUCCUCAUGCCCUCCCCUUGUCCAGCUCCAUGUCCCACCCCGCGUCCUCCCCAUGUCCUGCCCCGUUCUAUUCCAUGCCCACCUUCAUGUCCUCCCCCAUGUCCAUCCCCAUGUCCCACCCCACGUCCACGUCCUACCCCAUAUCCUGUCCCAUAUCCAUCCCCAUGUCCUACCCUAUGUCCUGCCCCAUAUUCAUCCCCAUAUCCAUCCCCAUAUCCUCCCCAUGUCCUCCCCAUGUUUUCCCCAUGUCCUACCCCAUAUCCAUCCCCAUAUCCCACCCCAUAUCCAUCCCCAUGUCCUCCCAUGCCAUCCCCAUAUCCUAUCCCAUAUUCAUCCCCAUGUCCUACCCCACAUCCCACCCCAUAUCCUCCCCGUAUC